UCUUGCGGGGUUCCCCAGGGUCCCCGCUGCGUCCUAGCGACGCUGGGCUCACCGAGCUGUGCGCGGACCUGGUGACCCGGGACAGCUGGGGACGCUGGCGAUCAGGGUUUCCGUUUCUUUGAAGAUUUGCUUUCCAAGUAAGAUUGGGGUUUGCCUGGUUUUCUCCUGAAAAUUUCGUCCACACAAGCAGCUAUGGCAGACAGACUCUACGGUGACCCUCAUUAUCCACUUUCUGAUGCUCAUGCCUUCCCGUGGGGUCUGACUGUGAUGGUGAAUCAACUGUGUCAACUUGAGAAUGAGAAGCUCAACUGAUUUGGAAGACUCAUCCCAGGGCAGCUUAUCACCUGCAUGGUACGCUUCAGCCUUCUGGUGCUGCCCAGGACACUGCAGUGGGCUCCAGACCUUCGACUGGAUGCUCAGUCCCCAGCGUGUGGACAGACCCUCUGCACUCUUCCUCAUCAGACUCUGUGGGUGGCCACCGCAAGCCAAUCGUGUAAAUUCUCAUAUAUUUGUAUAUCUUGUGUUGUAUCUGUUUCUCUGGUAAACAUGGACUGAUGUAGCUCCUUGAGUCUGGGCACAACUUGCUUAUUACUUCCUUCUAAUCAAUGGAACGGGGCAAAGGUGACAAGAUGUCACUCAGAAUUACUUUACCUUACAUGAGUUUUUUAUGUCUAAAUUUUAAUCAAAAAAUGUUGUGCUUCAAUUUUUAGCUAAUAAAUGUUUAUUUGUUUACAUAUUUAGGUGUUUUUGAGACAGGGUUUCACUAUG